rnacentral:rRNA from 1 species
GACGAACGCUGGCGGCGUGCUUAACACAUGCAAGUCGAACGGUGAAGGGGUCUGCUUUUGUGGGCCCUGGAUGAGUGGCGAACGGGUGAGUAACACGUGAGUAACCUGCCCCCUUCUUCUGGAUAACCGCAUGAAAGUGUGGCUAAUACGGGAUAUUCUGGGUCUGUCGCAUGCUGGGUCUGGGAAAGCUUGCGCCUUUGGGUGUUUUUGGUGGGGGAUGGGCUCGCGGCCUAUCAGCUUGUGGGGGGGGUGAUGGCCUACCAAGGCGGUGACGGGUAGCCGGCGGGGGAGGGGGGACGGUCACACGGGGACUGGGACCCGGCCCGGACGCCAGGGGGAGGCGGGGGAGGGGAAACUUGGCCAAGGGGCGGAAGCCUGAGGCAGCGCCGCGGGGGGGGGGAUGGGGGCUUUCGGGUGUAAAACUUUUUUCGCAGGAAAGGAGGGCCUGCUCCUUGGGGGGGGGUGACGGGUACCGGAGAAAAAGGGCCGGGUAAAUUCGUG